rnacentral:rRNA from 1 species
AGGACGAACGCUUGCGGCGUGCCUAAGAAAUGCAAGUCGAGCGGGGGUAGCAAUACCCUAGCGGCGAACGGUCGCGUAACACGUAAGCAAUCUGCCCUCAAGACUGGGAUAACACACCGAAAGGGGGUGCUAAUACCAGAUGUGGCUCUCUGGCGGCAUCGUCGGAGAACUAAACCAGGCAACUGGCUUGGGGAUGAGCUUGCGGCCUAUCAGCUAGUUGGUGGGGUAACGGCCUACCAAGGCGACGACGGGUAGCUGGUCUGAGAGGACGGCCAGCCGGACUGGGACUGAGAUACGGCCCAGACUCCUACGGGGGGCAGCAAUUAGGAAUCUUGCACAAUGGGCGAAAGCCUGAAUGCAGCGACGCCGCGUGAAGGAUGAAGUCCCUCGGGAUGUAAACUUCUUUUGUUCGGGACGAAGAAUGUGACGGUACCGAACGAAUAAGCCCCGGCUAACUACGUGCCAGCCGCUGC